rnacentral:rRNA from 1 species
AUUGAACGCUGGCGGCAGGCCUAACACAUGCAAGUCGAGCGGAUGAGAGGAGCUUGCUUCUCGAUUCAGCGGCGGACGGGUGAGUAAUGCCUAGGAAUCUGCCUGGUAGUGGGGGACAACGUUUCGAAAGGAACGCUAAUACCGCAUACGUCCUACGGGAGAAAGCAGGGGACCUUCGGGCCUUGCGCUAUCAGACGAGCCUAGGUCGGAUUAGCUAGUUGGUGAGGUAAUGGCUCACCAAGGCGACGAUCCGUAACUGGUCUGAGAGGAUGAUCAGUCACACUGGAACUGAGACACGGUCCAGACUCCUACGGGAGGCAGCAGUGGGGAAUAUUGGACAAUGGGCGAAAGCCUGAUCCAGCCAUGCCGCGUGUGUGAAGAAGGUCUUCGGAUUGUAAAGCACUUUAAGUUGGGAGGAAGGGUUGUAGAUUAAUACUCUGCAAUUUUGACGUUACCGACAGAAUAAGCACCGGCUAACUCUGUGCCAGCCGCCGCUGUAAAAC